ACAUGAGGACCCGCACGACCAAAAAUAUGCAACUUUUGCGUCUUGAAGACGCAAAAGUCCGGAAAUCAAAUUACAUUAUCUCAUUAAAUUUAAUGGAAAAAACUGUUAUCAAUCAGUAAUUAGUUCACUAGUUCGCAAUGGGUGCUCUGUUUUAAGAUCUGUUAUUAACAAGUUAUUAGUUAAAAAUGCACACAUAGGGAGGGAAAUU